GCCAGACUCCUACGGGAGGCAGCAGUGGGGAAUAUUGCACAAUGGGGGAAACCCUGAUGCAGCGACGCCGCGUGAGUGAAGAAGUAUUUCGGUAUGUAAAGCUCUAUCAGCAGGGAAGAAAAAAGACGGUACCUGACUAAGAAGCCCCGGCUAACUACGUGCCAGCAGCCGCGGUAAUACGUAGGGGGCAAGCGUUAUCCGGAUUUACUGGGUGUAAAGGGAGCGUAGACGGCAAUACAAGUCGGAAGUGAAAUACCCGGGCUCAACCUGGGAACUGCUUUGGAAACUGUAUGGCUGGAGUGCUGGAGAGGUAAGCGGAAUUCCUAGUGUAGCGGUGAAAUGCGUAGAUAUUAGGAGGAACACCAGUGGCGAAGGCGGCUUACUGGACAGUAACUGACGUUGAGGCUCGAAAGCGUGGGGAGCAAACAGGAUUAGAUACCCUUGUAC
rnacentral:rRNA from 1 species